rnacentral:rRNA from 1 species
AUUGAACGCUGGCGGCAGGCCUAACACAUGCAAGUCGAGCGGGGUUUUCGGACCUAGCGGCGGACGGGUGAGUAAUGCGUAGGAAGCUACCCGAUAGGGGGGGAUACCAGUUGGAAACGACUGUUAAUACCGCAUAAUGUCUACGGACCAAAGUGUGGGACCUUCGGGCCACAUGCUAUCGGAUGCGCCUACGUGGGAUUAGCUAGUUGGUGAGGUAAUGGCUCACCAAGGCGACGAUCCCUAGCUGGUUUGAGAGGAUGAUCAGCCACACUGGAACUGAGACACGGUCCAGACUCCUACGGGAGGCAGCAGUGGGGAAUAUUGGACAAUGGGCGCAAGCCUGAUCCAGCCAUACCGCGUGUGAAGAAGGCCUUCGGGUUGUAAAGCACUUUCAGCGAGGAGGAAGGGUGGUGUGUUAAUAGCACAUCAUUUUGACGUUACUCGCAGAAGAAGCGCCGGCUAACUCUGUGCCAGCAGCCGCAGUAACAC